rnacentral:pre_miRNA from 1 species
CAUAUACUCCCUCCAUUUGGAAUUACUUGUCUCGGAUAUGAAUGUAUCUAGAAAUAAAAUACGUCUAGAUACAUCCAUUUCUGCGACAAGUAAUUCCAAACGAAGGGAGUACUAC